AAAAAUCUAGGCGUAGAAGCCAUUAAGCUUCGGCAGAAGCAUUCAAGGCAAUAGAAAAAAAGAAAGGAAAAAAGAAAAAGGAAAAUCCUUGUUAGCCACUUUUGAGAAUCAAAGGAAACGUGAGGUUUUAGUUUUCUGCCAUUGAAGAGGACCACAAGUAUUCAACACAAAAAGCUAAUUACACAGAUAAGAAGAAGAUUGAUUGAAGAAAGGCGUACGGAUCGCUCGAGGUGACGAGUUUGGUAUUUCACACGAGUACAAUGGCUAGGACACGCACACCCUCAUCUGGGUGGCGGUCAAGUUGGGGUUCAUCAAACUAGAAGACGGGCUGCUCCUCAACCUGAAGUUGAGAACAUGGGUCAACCCCAAGCUACUAUGCCAAAUCAAGUGCAAGAAUAGGGGGUUCAGGAUGCUCCAUCACAAUACCAACUGUUAUACCUACUGUUGCCUUACCUAUAGACGCAGUGGCAAGGUUAUUGAAUGUGUUAGAGGCAUUGGUGCCUACUCAGGGUGAAAAUUCAGCUCCUCAGGCUACUUUACAGACACAAGCUCCUGCACAAACUCAGACUUUUGGGAAUAAGGAAGUAUCCCUACAAGAGUUCCUGAAAUUGAAAUCACCAAAAUUCAUAGGUUCUGAUAAUUCAGCAGAUCCUCAAAGUUUCUUGGAUGGGACACUCAAGGCAUUGCGUGCUCUAGGAUGUUCUAGUGAGAGGGUCGUGGAUGUGGCCAGUUGUGACAUCACUUGAGGGAUUGCCCUCAGCCUCCAAGAAAUUUCAACCAGGCUUCUACUCAGUCAGCUGCACCUACUCAGACUACUCGUAAUACCUUAGGUGCUACAGGUACAGGAAAUAGAGGUCGAGGUGUUGGAGAUCGUGCUACUGUAAAUCAAGGACAAAGGAAUGCUGGUAGAGGUCAGGCAAGAGUUUUUGCAUUUACUAGAUAGGAUGCUCAGGCCUCGAAUAUAGUGGUUACAUGUAUUCUUUCUGUCUGUUCAUUUGAUGCACUUGCGUUGA